rnacentral:rRNA from 1 species
AGUUCGGAUUGGAGCUGCAACCCGACUCCAUGAAGCUGGAUUCGCUAGUAAUCGCGCAUCAGCCACGGCGCGGUGAAUACGUUCCCGGGCCUUGUACACACCGCCCGUCAAGCCAUGGAAGCCGGGGGUGCCUGAAGUGCGCUGCCGCAAGGAGCGCCCUAGGGUAAAACCGGUGACUGGGGCUAAGUCGUAACAAGGUAAC